GAUGAACGCUGGCGGCGUGCUUAACACAUGCAAGUCGAACGGGAUCGGCUGGAGCUUGCUCCGGCCGUGAGAGUGGCGAACGGGUGAGUAAUGCGUGACCGACCUGCCCCAUACACCGGAAUAGCUCCUGGAAACGGGUGGUAAUGCCGGAUGCUCCAGUUGGAUGCAUGUCCUUCUGGGAAAGAUUCAUCGGUAUGGGAUGGGGUCGCGUCCUAUCAGGUAGUCGGCGGGGUAACGGCCCACCGAGCCUACGACGGGUAGCCGGCCUGAGAGGGCGACCGGCCACAUUGGGACUGAGAUACGGCCCAGACUCCUACGGGAGGCAGCAGUGGGGGAUAUUGCACAAUGGGCGCAAGCCUGAUGCAGCGACGCCGCGUGCGGGAUGACGGCCUUCGGGUUGUAAACCGCUUUUGACUGGGAGCAAGCCCUUCGGGGUGAGUGUAC
rnacentral:rRNA from 1 species